rnacentral:rRNA from 1 species
UACGAGGGGUGCAAGCGUUAUUCGGAAUCAUUGGGCGUAAAGGGUGCGUAGACGGCUUAUUAAGUCAACUGUUAAAUUCUCCGGCCUAACUGGAGGUCAGCAGUAGAAACUGAUAGGCUUGAGGUUGGAAGAGAGGAGUGGAAUUCUCGGAGUAGCGGUAAAAUGCGUAGAUCUCGAGAGGAACACCGAUGGCGAAGGCAGCUCCUUGGUCCAUACCUGACGUUGAGGCACGAAAGCGUGGGGAGCGAACAGG